CACACGCUGCCACAGCUUGUCUGCUGCUCUGCACAGGUCAUGCCCCUCGCCCACCUGUAGUGCUUUGGUGUCAGAGGCCCACCCUGUCUUCUAAAUCCCACACAGUCCUGGAGGUGCUCCACACUUCAGGGCUGAACAGAGCUGGGGUGGAGAUUGGGAGGGAAGAUCUGCAGGCACCCGCAGAGCCACCAAAGCUGCCCCUGUCACCGAUGGCCAAAGCUCUGGGAGAAGGGACAAAAGUCCAUCCAGUGCCACUUCCCUUCAUCCCUCAGAGCAGCCAGCCUGAGCGAGGGAGCUGGAGGAACAGACCUCACUGGUACAGACAUCAGCGAUCAACCAGAGCUAACCUCAGGCUGUUGAAAGGCGCAGCACAGACACACACAGAUUUGCAGGAUUUUAUGGCCAGGCUGGUUUAGUCUGAAGCCCAUCUCGUCCAGUGCCGUCAUCUUACGGAUGAGGAAACCAAAGCAAACCUGAAGACAAGUUGGAGGGCUGGAGUCUUUAUCCUGAUAUUCCAUCUUCUGAAGAGACAGAGGUCCCCGUGUGUUCUUGACUUCAGCAGCUUCAGAGCAAGCUCUGCACGCCCAAUGCGUCUGAGAGCCUCACGGAUGGUUAGUCAGGUGUCAGUGAUCUGGAGGGGCUCACGCAUGGGGCAGAAGAUCAGACCCUACGAACCUGUUGAGCCAUCCAAAGUCAGACCAUGUGUUUGAAGCAACAGAAUAGGGUUGAUUUAACAAGGCUUGUCCUUAGAGACUACCCUCCCCAACCAACCCCCGCCUACCAGAGUUUGUGCUUGCAAUUCAAGUUUCUGGCACCAGAUGGCAGUGUUGCUCUGUUAUGAAUUGCAGACUACUGAUUUGGUAGAAAAGUUUUAAAAUUC